rnacentral:rRNA from 1 species
AGUGAACGCUGGCGGUAGGCCUAACACAUGCAAGUCGAACGGCAGCACAGGAGAGCUUGCUCUCUGGGUGGCGAGUGGCGGACGGGUGAGGAAUACAUCGGAAUCUACUCUGUCGUGGGGGAUAACGUAGGGAAACUUACGCUAAUACCGCAUACGACCUACGGGUGAAAGCAGGGGACCUUCGGUCCUUGCGCGAUUGAAUGAGCCGGUGUCGGAUUAGCUAGUUGGCGGGGUAAAGGCCCACCAAGGCGACGAUCCGUAGCUGGUCUGAGAGGAUGAUCAGCCACACUGGAACUGAGACACGGUCCAGACUCCUACGGGAGGCAGCAGUGGGGAAUAUUGGACAAUGGGCGCAAGCCUGAUCCAGCCAUACCGCGUGGGUGAAGAAGGCCUUCGGGUUGUAAAGCCCUUUUGUUGGGAAAGAAAUCCAGCUGGCUAAUACCCGGUUGGGAUGACGGUACCCAAAGAAUAAGCACCGGCUAACUUCGUGCUAGCCGCCGCGGUAA